rnacentral:rRNA from 1 species
GACGAACGCUGGCGGCGUGCCUAACACAUGCAAGUCGAACGGAAAGGCCCUGCUUUUGUGGGGUGCUCGAGUGGCGAACGGGUGAGUAACACGUGAGUAACCUGCCCUUGACUUUGGGAUAACUUCAGGAAACUGGGGCUAAUACCGGAUAGGAGCUCCUGCUGCAUGGUGGGGGUUGGAAAGUUUCGGCGGUUGGGGAUGGACUCGCGGCUUAUCAGCUUGUUGGUGGGGUAGUGGCUUACCAAGGCUUUGACGGGUAGCCGGCCUGAGAGGGUGACCGGCCACAUUGGGACUGAGAUACGGCCCAGACUCCUACGGGAGGCAGCAGUGGGGAAUAUUGCACAAUGGGCGGAAGCCUGAUGCAGCAACGCCGCGUGCGGGAUGACGGCCUUCGGGUUGUAAACCGCUUUCGCCUGUGACGAAGCGUGAGUGACGGUAAUGGGUAAAGAAGCACCGGCUAACUACGU